CCUACGGGGGGCAGCAGUGGGGGAUAUUGCACAAUGGGGGAAACCCUGAUGCAGCGACGCCGCGUGGGUGAAGAAGGAUUUCGGUAUGUAAAGCCCUAUCAGCAGGGAAGAAAGAAGACGGUACCUGACUAAGAAGCCCCGGCUAACUACGUGCCAGCAGCCGCGGUAAUACGGAGGGGGCGAGCGUUAUCCGGAUUCACUGGGUGUAAAGGGAGCGUAGACGGCCGUGCAAGCCAGGAGUGAAAGCCCGGGGCCCAACCCCGGGACUGCUCUUGGAACUGUGCGGCUGGAGUGCGGGAGGGGCAGGCGGAAUUCCGGGUGUAGCGGUGAAAUGCGUAGAUAUCAGGAGGAACACCGGCGGCGAAGGCGGCCUGCUGGACCGCGACUGACGUUGAGGCUCGAAAGCGUGGGGAGCGAACAGGAUUAGAUACCCGGGUAGUC
rnacentral:rRNA from 1 species